GCCAGCAUGGCUUAGUGGUUUGAGUGCUGGAUUAUGACUCUGGAAGCCAGGAUUCAAUUCCUGGCUCAGCCA